rfam:Homo sapiens chromosome 2, GRCh38 reference primary assembly.
GCCAGGUGUGGUGGCUCAUGCCUGUAAUCCCAACUACUUAGGAGGCUGAGGCAGGAGAAUCACUUGAAUCCAGGAGGCAGAGGUUGCAGUGAGUCGAGAUUGUGCCACUGCACUCCAGCCUGGGUGACAGAGUGAGAUUCUGUCUCAA